rnacentral:rRNA from 1 species
UGGGGAAUUUUGGACAAUGGGGGCAACCCUGAUCCAGCCAUGCCGCGUGAGUGAAGAAGGCCUUCGGGUUGUAAAGCUCUUUCGGCGGGGACGAAACGGUCCGUGACAACACCACGGACUAAUGACAGUACUCGCAGAAGAAGCACCGGCUAACUACGUGCCAGCAGCCGCGGUAAUACGUAGGGUGCAGGCGUUAAUCGGAAUUACUGGGCGUAAAGCGUGCGCAGGCGGCUCCUUAAGUCAGAUGUGAAAUCCCCGGGCUUAACCUGGGAACUGCGUUUGUAACUGGCAGGCUAGAGUGUGGCAGAGGGGGGUGGAAUUCCACGUGUAGCAGUGAAAUGCGUAGAUAUGUGGAGGAACACCGAUGGCGAAGGCAGCCCCCUGGGUUAACACUGACGCUCAUGCACGAAAGCGUGGGGAGCAAACAGGAUUAGAUACCCACGUAGUCCCUGAGCGGGCUGGCAAGGCGCAU